UACGGGGGGGGCAAGCGUUGUUCGGAAUUACUGGGCGUAAAGGGUGCGUAGGCGGUCCGCUAAGUUGGAUGUGAAAACUCUGGGCUUAACCCAGAGCCUGCAUUCAAAACUGACGGGCUAGAGUUCUGGAGGGGGUAGCGGAAUUCCUGGUGUAGCGGUGAAAUGCGUAGAUAUCAGGAGGAACACCGGUGGCGAAGGCGGCUACCUGGACCACAACUGACGCUGAUGCACGAAAGCUAGGGGAGCAAACAGG
rnacentral:rRNA from 1 species